UCGCUUCGGAUGACAGGAACCGGCGAACGGGUGCGUAACACGUAUGCAAUCUGCCCCUGACUGGAGCAUAGCCCGGGGAAACUCGGAUUAAUACUCCAUAAUAUUAUGAAAUGGCAUCAUUUUAUAAUCAAAGUUCCGACGGUCAGGGAUGAGCAUGCGGCCCAUUAGCUAGUUGGUGAGGUAAUGGCUCACCAAGGCUACGAUGGGUAGGGGGUCUGAGAGGAUGAUCCCCCACACUGGUACUGAGACACGGACCAGACUCC
rnacentral:rRNA from 2 species